GGCGAUCAGAUACCGCCCUAGUUCUGACCGUAAACGAUGCCAACUAGCGAUCCGCCAGUCGACUCAUCGCUCUGGUGGGGAGCUUCCCGGAAACGAAAGUCUUCCGGUUCCGGGGGAAGUAUGGUUGCAAAGCUGAAACUUAAAGGAAUUGACGGAAGGGCACCACCAGGAGUGGAGCCUGCGGCUUAAUUUGACUCAACACGGGGAAACUCACCCGGCCCGGACACCGUAAGGAUUGACAGAUUGAUAGCUUUUUCAUGAUUCGGUGGAUGGUGGUGCAUGGCCGUUCUUAGUUCGUGGAGCGAUUUGUCUGGUUUAUUCCGAUAACGAGCGAGACUCUGGCCUACUAAAUAGUUGACGCAUUGCCACUGUGCGCACAACUUCUUAGAGGGAUUUUCGGUGUUUUCAACCGUACGAAAUUGAGCAAUAACAGGUCUGUGAUGCCCUUAGAUGUCCGGGGCUGCACGCGCGCUACACUGGCAAACGCAACGUGCCUGUCCUGCCCCGAAAGGAGCGGGUAAACCCCUGAAAUUUUGCCGUGAUUGGGAUCGGACAUUGCAACUAUUGUCCGUGAACGAGGAAUUCCUUGUAGGGGCGAGUCAUCAACUCGUCCCGAAUACGUCCCUGCCCUUUGUA
rnacentral:rRNA from 1 species